GAUGGUUCUCAGGUGAUGUGCCCCGGAACUGGGCCCCCUCCUCUCUGGUUCCGGGUGCAUCACCCAAGAACCACA
rfam:Myotis davidii contig324564, whole genome shotgun sequence.